UGGGCACAGAGAGGUUAGGUCAGCUCCCCCACGUCAUUCAGGUCAUACUUGUUUGAAUCCCAAAGGCAAGGAACAUUCAGCCCGUCCAAACUAAGCCAUCCACCCCGAGUCCCUACACACAUCUGCACCUCCUCUAGUGUUUGCCUGACUCAGUGCAAGGCAGCCUUCUCCCCGGCUGCUUUGGCCAGAGAUCCUUACAGUCAUCUGUGCCUGCCGCCUCUGUCUCACCAUCCCCUCGGGCACCAAGCCCCGCCUUUCUGCUCCUAAGUCUAGGCAAGAUCUUGCCACUUCUCUCCAUCACCACAGUGAGAUCCCUAGUCCAGGUCACCCUCAGCUCUACCCUGCACGACCACCACCAAUCCUGAUCCUUUGCCACCCUUUUUCCAUUCCACUGCCCGAGGAACCUUUCUGAAGUCCUAAUCUAGGAACGCCACACCUGUUCAAACCUCUGUGGGGGCUGUCCGCUGCUCUAGGGAUAGUGUCCGGCCUCCUGGACUAGGCACAUCAGGAGUCGCGUGCCCCUGAGUGCCUGAUCCUCACCGGACCCCUCCUGCUCCAUUCCCCCCACUUGACAUUCCAACCACCCCAAACCCUUUCUGUACCUCACAUGGCCAGUGUGCUCACAAUCGUUCCUGCUGACCACUCCCAGACUGCACAUCCUCACAGGUGCUGUUCCCGCCAUCCUCAUCUGCUGGUUUCCUUCUUCGGUUCGGUGUCACGUUGGGUGGUGCAAUUUCCAUUUUACCUGGGCCGCACCUGGAUGAGAAGUCAGUUAACUCCUACUUUUAUAGAAUGGGAUGUGGUGGGGAUUUCUUGUUGAAUUCCCCAAAUCAAAACAAGGUUUACUGUGGUUCACAGUGAGCUGAGCUGAAAUGCAAUCUGAUGCCUGCCUUUUUUGGGAAAAGCUUCCUUGCUAAUAAGCACAGGGGACAGAUGGCAAAGGUCUCUCUGCUUAUUGUAUUUGGGCCCACUUUUGCCUUUGAACAUGGACUUUGGAAUCAGAUCACAAUUUUGGAACUAUCAAUGGAUCCAGGGUGAUCACCUGCCUGACAGUGAGGAGGGAUAACCCAGAACAUGGGAGAUACCUGUCACUUUAUGGUGUCUGUGACCCAGUAAAUGGAACAGGCCCGAUCUGCUCUGCCCAUGGACUUUGUUUUGAUGACACGUUCACUAUUUCCCACUCGAUUUUAUAGUCGGAGUUCUCUGUUAGGACAACAGAAAGUACAGUAACUUUCCUCUCUUUGCAGUGGAGCUGAUUUUCUAGUUCUUGGGGCCCUGAGGGUGGCAGGGAUCAGCUGCCUGCUCAGGAUGGGGGGACCCUCCAAGGUCAUGUGCCAGUGCCUUCCUGCAGCUCCUCAGGUGUCUGCACAGGGUGCUGUCAACCCCUGGAGGCACCCAGACGAUCCAGUUCCUAGAAGGUCCGGGAGAGAGAGUGUGUAGGUUCUACCAGCUACACACUCAGCUGUGAGGAUCCCCUUCAUUCACUACAACUCCUCUAAGCAGAACACACCUAAGUAUGAAAUGAAGCGUGUGUCUCUGAUACGUAAGGUCAAAGAAAAAGAUGGAAAUGGCACCACCCCCCUACCCCACAGCCACCCCAGUCAGAGGGUGGAGUAGACUCCUGGGGCCGUGGCCUGGAUCCCUCCACACUGAUGUGUCCCUAACAGGGGUGCAGUGUAAACGGCUCUUCCUCAAGCCUGGCUCUUGAGCUCAUGUGAGCAGGGCAGACACGGUUUUAUUUCCCCAAGGGCCAGAGAGGUAAGUAUCAACCCACCGCCUUCCACAGACAAGGAAAUAAGCUCAAAGAGGUUAAGUCGCUGAUGCAGUGGAGGGUGGAUCUGGGAGUCACGCCCCGGGUCUGUCAGACUCCUGAGCCAGUCUUCUUUGCCGUCACUUCACAACAAACUUGGUUUGGGUUUUUGUUGCUGAGAUGCAGAUACUGUUCCAUGAUGGGACAGUCACUGUUGUCCCAGUACCGUGUCCACCGGUGACGUCCAGGCACCCAGCAGGGCAAAGGCACCGUGAAUGGCUCUCAGACCCUCUCUGUGUCGCCUUCAGGGGAGCUGCUCUGAAGCCCAGAGACCUGGAGUCCACUGGUGGGAAGGGCCUGCCUCAGAGCCAACAGGCAGGCAGGACGUUGACUUUCCCUGCAGGGAGGCACUGCACCAUGCCAGAGAGGCUUUGCCAUCACCCCCCAGGCCCGGUUACGGCCCAGUUAGGACUCGACCCGUCUCCCUCUGUUUAGCAGAUACUAGGAAUUGAGAGGCGAGCAGAGGCAGAGGAGGUGCUUUCAGUGGCUGCAUGGCCUCUCGGGAGGUGACCCAGCCGCCAUGGUGGUCUGGAGCCCAAAGACUGAGAAUGGAAAAUGGCUGCACUGGUUUUGCUGUCGGUGCCCUUCAGCCUGUGUGUCUGUAAACUGGAAGAUCACGGUGCCUCCCUCAGGAACCUCCCCACCCUUGAGAAGUGUGUCUUGACCAAACACCCACAACCCCUCCCCCUGAUACUUUGGCAGGGGUCAGUGCCCUCCUCUGUGUUCCUAGGUUUCUAGGACUUAAAUCCCGCCAUCACUCACACAACAGGUGGCUGUCAUCUGCUUGCAGGUUCCAGCCCACAUCAUCCCUACAUCCCCAAACUAGGCCCAGGAGGCUGAGAUGUAGUGUCUUGGCGGUGCUGAGACUGUUUCCUCAAUGAACAAAGGACCCUGACUCCAGGUCUAUUGUUAAUAAAAGGCGGCUCUUCUUGAGCCAGUUAUUUCUGCGUAAAAAUGACCCAGGAGAAUGGGGUAACGAGGACAUCUGUGGAGUCAGUCUCUUCCCUGUGAGGGGAGGAGGACUGCAUCUGUCAUACCCGCCUCUUUCCGGAAACUCCUAAUACACGCGGCCACAAUGCCUACUACACACGUGUGUGUCACUCUGGUACCUCCACUGCCCGCAGUUCUGCCCUCACAGUUGAACCUGGGUCACGAUGCUUGGAGCAACUGUACUGAAUGUUUCCUAAGCAUCAAGCGGCCAGUGCUCAGCGUGGGUGUUGCAAGCAUGUAGCCAGUGGAUGGGCUGUUGAAUGAACCUGGCCAAGGCAGAUCUGGUGGGAAUGCUGGGAGAAGCUGCCACAGAAGCAGCCACGUUGAAAAAAAGGCUGGAGAGCUUUUUUCCCUUCUUGCCUCGCUCGGGUUUAUCUGAAGCUUUCUCCGUCCCAGAAACAGAUUUGUGUCCUCCCAGUUGUAGGAGAGAGCAAGUCAAACUUUUAACAUUUUUGGCUGACACGAAGGUCACCUUUCCAAGGCCUGGACACACACCCCCCCCCCCCCCGCCUGGGCCUAGAGGAAAUAACAAACACCAAAGUCCGGUGCUCAUGACAGGUACCCCCUCACAUCAGGCAGCUCAGCAAAGCAGCCCAGGGAUGCAGUGAGCUAACCCUCUGAUGCGGGAUUUCUUGGUCCUCUUUUUGGCCACACGCAUUGCACAUGGAAUCUCCCAGGCAGGGAUUAAACCCUUGCCGCAGCUGUAUCCAGAGGCACAGCAGUGACACCACCAGAGCCUUAACCCGCUGAGCAACCAGGGAACUUCUGGAUCUUUUCCUUUUAACUUAGUAAGGAACGGUUACCUCUCACACCCGUCAGUGGCUCAGUGCUGCUCUAUAGCAUGGGUACAUCCAUAGUCACCGAGCAUGAAAGGAUCAUCAUCCUACCGCUUCGUCCACCCUUCAAACGAGGCUUUCACUGCAUAUCAAUGAGGCAGGAGCUCACUGGUGAAUCUCAUGGCUGCCCCCACUGUUUCAGACGUCCAAAACCACUCUUGCUUUUGGUGAAUCCCUAGGAGGGCUCACAGGACCCAGCAUACAGUCAUCCCCAUGGCUAGGAAUCAGUACUGCAAAAGGAUAGAAAGACAAACAGCCAGGGGGAGUGGUGCACUGGGCAUCAUCCAGAGGAAACCAGCGUACGCUUUCGAGAGUCCUUUCUCCCUAGAGUCACACAAUCUGUCCCUCCAGCAACGAGCCAUGACAGCUCCUUCAAACACUGUCUGCCAGAGAAGCUCAUGAGAAACCCAGGGCCCAAGCUUUUAACUGGGGACUGGUCCCUCGCACACUCUCUGCCCAGCACGUACCAGGAUUCCAGGGUCCCGGGAGGCAAGCAGGCGUUUAGCAUCGAACAUAUUGUUUGGACAGUUUCGGAAGAGGAACCUACCCUUCUCGGGGAGGGAACGGUGGGAAACCACCUGAAAUCCAAGUUCCCGGAUGCAAGGUAAGGUCAACAAGCUACAGUUUCUAAGGAUUAUCGGCUCCAGCCUGCUACGUUAUAUAUAUGCAUAUAUAUGUGAGUGAAAUAAGUCAGAGAGAAAGACAAAUAAUGCAUGUUCUCUCUUACAUGUGAAAUCUGAAAACGUCUAGGUUACAGAAAUAGAGUUUAUUUAUUUAUCUUUGAUAGGCAAGAAAUAGAUUUAUUAAGAUAGGACGCUUAUGAGAGAUGUAAGCAGGCAGGCAUGGAAGCUCUACCAGAAGUAGAGUUUGGAAGGGUGCUUGCGAGGGGCUGGGGGAAAUGGUGGUCAAAGGGUACAAACUUCUAGCUAUAAGAUGAAUAAGUUAUGGGGAUCUAACGUAGAGCAUGGUGACGAUACUUAAUAUUGUAUUAUGUACUGAAAAUUAAGUGGCACAGUGAGUUAAGGAUCCAGUGUUUUCACUGCCAUGGCUCGGGUGGCUGCUGUGGAGUGGGGUCGAGCCCUGGCCCAGGAACGUCCGCUUGCUUCAGGAGCAGCCCAAAACAAAACAAAACAAACAAAUAAAUGAACUAAAACACAAAGAAACAG
rnacentral:lncRNA from 1 species